UCGAACCCUCUGCAAGAGCAGAAUGACCCGUGAACUCGUGAUAUCACUCACGGGGGCGUGCUUCUCGAUCGCCCUCGACGUCUCUGCGGGUGCGGGACUUUUCCUGUUCCCCGCUGGGGCGAACAACAAACCCCCGGCGCGGACUGCGCCAAGGAAAUAUAAUGAGAGAGCGUGCUCCCGGGGCCUCUGACACGGUGUGCUCCGGGACGUGAUGCCUUCUUUCACACUAUCUAUAACGACUCUCGGCAACGGAUAUCUCGGCUCUCGCAUCGAUGAAGAACGUAGCGAAAUGCGAUACUUGGUGUGAAUUGCAGAAUCCCGUGAACCAUCGAGUCUUUGAACGCAAGUUGCGCCCCACGCCUUUAGGCCGAGGGCACGUCUGCCUGGGUGUCACUCGUCAUAGCCUCGCCCCACCCCUGCCUCGGGGGGCCUUUGGUGGCGCGGGCUGAUAAUGGCCUCCCGCGUGCUCUCUUCUCGUGGUUGGCCCAAAUUUGAGUCCUCGGCGAUCCAAGCCGUGAAAAUCGGUGGUGAAAACAAACCUCUCGAUGUCAAUUCGCGUGCCUGGUUCUCCAUUAUGGGACUGAGGGACCUUGAUGCUCUGCGCAAGCGGUGCUCACAUC
rnacentral:rRNA from 2 species